rnacentral:rRNA from 1 species
UUACGUCGGAUGUGAAAACCUGAGGCUCAACCUCAGGCCUGCAUUCGAUACGGGCAAACUAGAGUUUGGUAGGGGAGACUGGAAUUCCUGGUGUAGCGGUGGAAUGCGCAGAUAUCAGGAGGAACACCAAUGGCGAAGGCAGGUCUCUGGGCCAAUACUGACACUGAGGAGCGAAAGUCUGGGGAGCGAACAGGAUUAGAUACCCUGGUAGUCCAGACCGUAAACGGUGGGCACUAGUUGUGGGAACCUUCCACGGUUUCUGCGACGCAGCUAACGCAUUAAGUGCCCCGCCUGGGGAGUACGAUCGCAAGAUUAAAACUCAAAGGAAUUGACGGGGCCCCGCACAAGCAGCGGAGCAUGCGGCUUAAUUCGACGCAACGCGAAGAACCUUACCAAGGCUUGACAUAUAGGGAAAAGUGGCAGAGAUGUCAUGUCCGCAAGGGCUCUAUACAGGUGGUGCAUGGUUGUCGUCAGCUCGUGUCGUGAGAUGUUGGGUUAAGUCCCGCAACGAGCGCAACCCUCGUUCUGUGUUGCCAGCAUUUAGUUGGGGACUCACAGGAGACUGCCGGGGUUAACUCGGAGGAAGGUGGGGAUGACGUCAAAUCAUCAUGCCCCUUAUGUCUUGGGCUGCACGCAUGCUACAAUGGCCGGUACAGAGGGCUGCAAUACCGUAAGGUGGAGCGAAUCCCAAAAAGCCGGUCUCAGUUCGGAUUGAGGUCUGCAACUCGACCUCAUGAAGUUGGAGUUGCUAGUAAUCGUAGAUCAGCAACGCUACGGUGAAUACGUUCCCGGGGCUUGUACACACCGCCCGUCACGUCACGA